GUAUUGGAAUACGGUGAGGGCCGGGACAGAAAAUGACAGAUGAUAAAGGGUACGAUGAACGCGGGCGACGAAUGAAACGUGAAAACUCAGGUCCACACACAGACACACAUGGACAUGGAUUGAUUAAAGUUGACACACACAGUCACACUUAUGUAUUUAUUAUAUCUGCUAUGAAGAGCAUUGAUCAGUGAGUAAAGUAGCAUCAAGUGUAAAAGUGUGUUGUGUUUAUCAAAAAAAACAGUGAAUGGUGACAGAAGAUAAAGAAGUUCCCGGCAUGACUCUCGAGGGUUUCUUUUCUGUUUCAGACUUUGGCUGUGUUAAAUCUCUUCCUUUCACUACAAAUCUUCUUCACUAGUCUUUAUCUACAUGUAAAAAGACAAUGUUCUGAAAUAUGACUUUAAUAAAGUUACUCACUCCAUUAUUUUCG
rnacentral:lncRNA from 1 species